AAUUUGGAAGUCUAUAAUGUGAAUGCGAUUUUCAUUUCUACACGCAUCUGCUAUUGCACCAUUUGCAGCCAUGUAACCGAACUUUAGAUAAGGGCAUAUCUCAUAUAAGAUAUGCAUGUAGGAAAGCAAGUCCCAGCCUGCUGGUUCCUUACAUCUGAGAGCCCUGUAUAUGUUGGUUCCGGAUGCUUCUUUUCUUGCUACUAGCCCUUCUACGAUGUAAGCACCGAGACGCUGGAUUGGAUCACCAGUAAUGGACACAGCACUUCUUGCCUUGGCAAUCAAUUUUUCAAAAUCAUCCAAGUUGUUCUCAGCAAGAGCUCUGGCACACGCGAUAAGCAGCUCCUUUAGGUUGCCAAAAGGAAUCCCCUGCGACGGAUAAUCCACCAUCGGUUUGUGAUGCUCCUCACUUUGAAUUAUAUCCCCUGAUAUGCCAAAAACAGAAACAUGUGAUGGCUGUGUUUCAAUUCGAUAUGGAACCUGGCCAUCUUGGUGCCACAUACCGGACCUCUGACCACCUGAUGCUUGUGGCUGCUGAAUUUCCCCUGCAGAGGGGCUGGAUGUUGUGACUUCUUCUGGCCCCAUUAAAGCGGUCUCUAAUUGAAGCAGCGCAUGUUUCAUGUUGUGACUGUGAUUUGCAUACUGGAGUAAAGAAUUAUCACCAGAAUAAACCAGAAGAUUGUUAUGGUGGAUAUCUGGAGAGGGACUAGGCCUACAGAAAUAAUGAUUAUAAUCCCGCGAGGAAUUACUGCAAGG
rnacentral:misc_RNA from 1 species